rnacentral:rRNA from 1 species
UACGUAGGGCGCAAGCGUUGUCCGGAAUUAUUGGGCGUAAAGAGCUCGUAGGCGGCCUGUUGCGUCCGCUGUGAAAUCCCGGGGCUCAACCCCGGGCCUGCAGUGGAUACGGGCUGGCUGGAGGCAGGCAGGGGAGAUGCGGAAGUUCCUGUGUAGCGGUGAAAUGCGCAGAUAUCAGGAGGAACACCGAGUGCGAAGGCAGGUCUCUGGGCUGAACCUGACGCUCAGUGCAGAAAGCGU